CGCUCGCUCUGAUGGGAUCUCCGAUUUCUAGAGCCUGAUCGAUCCAAAUCGGAGACGGUUCUGUUGUUCUUCGCCGUGAGUCUUGUUUCUUCGUAGACGGUGGUGCUUCGCCGAUUCGCGCCGCGAGAUUCUUGUUUCUUUGACGGCGGUGGUGCUUCGCCGCGAGUCUUGCUUCUUCUAAGACGAUUCUGUGUCGUGUAGAGACUCCAGUGUUUCUUCUUCGCCGAGUCUUACUUUUCCAAAGAAGUUUCAUUUUGAAGAUUGAAAUAGCAGCAAUGGACACUGAGAUUCAACAGUUUGUGAGGGUUAAUUGUCGGCUAUCGGUUCCACGACUGAACCAUCUGAUCAAUCUUAUCAAUGAAUGGUCGAGGGCAAGUCUUCAUUACGAUAAUGAAGUGAUUGAGAAUCGUGUAUAUUACUGGGUUCCGGGUUCUGUUGGAGUUGAAGUGGCUGGUGGUGGCGGUGGUGGUGCUGGUGGCUUUGGCGGAAAUAAUCAACAAGCCUUGUCCAAGGCCUAGAUGGGAAUGAUCAUCAAGCUGUCCAAGGUGAAGCUGUUGAAGUUUCGGGUAGUAAAGAAGGUGGAGCUGUUGAAGUUUCAGGUAGUAAAGAAGUUGAAGCUGCUGUAGCUGUUGAUGAAGAUCAUGAAGCUGGACAUGACCAUCAGAGCAAGAGAAAGCGAAUGAGGGAACAUCAGAAGGAGAAGAAGAAGAAAGUCUGCACAUGAUAAGAGGAAGUAGUAUUGUAGUUGGGAGUGUAGAAGAAUGAAGAAUCCAUUGAAUUCAUUUUACCGUAUGUAAAAAAAGUCGAGAGGCAGACAAAUAUGUUCUUGUUUUUUUCAUAAUUCCAUAUUCAAAGUAAAGAACAUAUAGUAGAUCUUGAUCUAGCUUCAAGGGUCUGUACAUUUUACAUUUCAAUCAAAAAUAAUGGCA